GGGUUGUGAGGUUAAGCGACUAAGCGUACACGGUGGAUGCCCUGGCAGUCAGAGGCGAUGAAGGACGUGCUAAUCUGCGAAAAGCGCCGGCGAGGUGAUAUGAACCUUUGACCCGGCGAUGUCCGAAUGGGGAAACCCAGUGUGUUCCGACACACUAUCGUUAACUGAAUACAUAGGUUAACGAGGCGAACCGGGGGAACUGAAACAUCUAAGUACCCCGAGGAAAAGAAAUCAACCGAGAUUCCCCCAGUAGCGGCGAGCGAACGGGGAGCAGCCCAGAGUCUGAAUCAGCUUGUGUGUUAGUGGAAGCGUCUGGAAAGUCGCACGGUACAGGGUGACAGUCCCGUACACGAAAGCACACAGGCUGUGAACUCGAAGAGUAGGGCGGGACACGUGGUAUCCUGUCUGAAUAUGGGGGGACCAUCCUCCAAGGCUAAAUACUCCUGACUGACCGAUAGUGAACCAGUACCGUGAGGGAAAGGCGAAAAGAACCCCGGCGAGGGGAGUGAAAAAGAACCUGAAACCGUGUACGUACAAGCAGUGGGAGCCUCUUUUAUGGGGUGACUGCGUACCUUUUGUAUAAUGGGUCAGCGACUUAUAUUCUGUAGCAAGGUUAACCGUAUAGGGGAGCCGAAGGGAAACCGAGUCUUAACUGGGCGUUAAGUUGCAGGGUAUAGACCCGAAACCCGGUGAUCUAGCCAUGGGCAGGUUGAAGGUUGGGUAACACUAACUGGAGGACCGAACCGACUAAUGUUGAAAAAUUAGCGGAUGACUUGUGGCUGGGGGUGAAAGGCCAAUCAAACCGGGAGAUAGCUGGUUCUCCCCGAAAGCUAUUUAGGUAGCGCCUCGUGAACUCAUCUUCGGGGGUAGAGCACUGUUUCGGCUAGGGGGCCAUCCCGGCUUACCAACCCGAUGCAAACUACGAAUACCGAAGAAUGUUAUCACGGGAGACACACGGCGGGUGCUAACGUCCGUCGUGAAGAGGGAAACAACCCAGACCGCCAGCUAAGGUCCCAAAGUCAUGGUUAAGUGGGAAACGAUGUGGGAAGGCACAGACAGCCAGGAUGUUGGCUUAGAAGCAGCCAUCAUUUAAAGAAAGCGUAAUAGCUCACUGGUCGAGUCGGCCUGCGCGGAAGAUGUAACGGGGCUAAACCAUGCACCGAAGCUGCGGCAGCGACACUAUGUGUUGUUGGGUAGGGGAGCGUUCUGUAAGCCGUUGAAGGUGUCCUGUGAGGGGUGCUGGAGGUAUCAGAAGUGCGAAUGCUGACAUAAGUAACGAUAAAGCGGGUGAAAAGCCCGCUCGCCGGAAGACCAAGGGUUCCUGUCCAACGUUAAUCGGGGCAGGGUGAGUCGACCCCUAAGGCGAGGCCGAAAGGCGUAGUCGAUGGGAAACAGGUUAAUAUUCCUGUACUUGGUGUUACUGCGAAGGGGGGACGGAGAAGGCUAUGUUAGCCGGGCGACGGUUGUCCCGGUUUAAGCAUGUAGGCGGAGGUUCCAGGUAAAUCCGGUUCCUUGUUAACGCUGAGGUGUGAUGACGAGGCACUACGGUGCUGAAGUAACAAAUGCCCUGCUUCCAGGAAAAGCCUCUAAGCAUCAGGUAACAUCAAAUCGUACCCCAAACCGACACAGGUGGUCAGGUAGAGAAUACCAAGGCGCUUGAGAGAACUCGGGUGAAGGAACUAGGCAAAAUGGUGCCGUAACUUCGGGAGAAGGCACGCUGAUAUGUAGGUGAAGCCCCUGCGGGUGGAGCUGAAAUCAGUCGAAGAUACCAGCUGGCUGCAACUGUUUAUUAAAAACACAGCACUGUGCAAACACGAAAGUGGACGUAUACGGUGUGACGCCUGCCCGGUGCCGGAAGGUUAAUUGAUGGGGUUAGCGGUAACGCGAAGCUCUUGAUCGAAGCCCCGGUAAACGGCGGCCGUAACUAUAACGGUCCUAAGGUAGCGAAAUUCCUUGUCGGGUAAGUUCCGACCUGCACGAAUGGCGUAAUGAUGGCCAGGCUGUCUCCACCCGAGACUCAGUGAAAUUGAACUCGCUGUGAAGAUGCAGUGUACCCGCGGCAAGACGGAAAGACCCCGUGAACCUUUACUAUAGCUUGACACUGAACACUGGUCCUUGAUGUGUAGGAUAGGUGGGAGGCUUUGAAGCGUGGACGCCAGUCUGCGUGGAGCCAACCUUGAAAUACCACCCUUUAAUGGCUGGUGUUCUAACGUAGACCCGUAAUCCGGGUUGCGGACAGUGUCUGGUGGGUAGUUUGACUGGGGCGGUCUCCUCCCAAAGAGUAACGGAGGAGCACGAAGGUUAGCUAAUCCUGGUCGGACAUCAGGAGGUUAGUGCAAUGGCAUAAGCUAGCUUGACUGCGAGAGUGACGGCUCGAGCAGGUGCGAAAGCAGGUCAUAGUGAUCCGGUGGUUCUGAAUGGAAGGGCCAUCGCUCAACGGAUAAAAGGUACUCCGGGGAUAACAGGCUGAUACCGCCCAAGAGUUCAUAUCGACGGCGGUGUUUGGCACCUCGAUGUCGGCUCAUCACAUCCUGGGGCUGAAGUAGGUCCCAAGGGUAUGGCUGUUCGCCAUUUAAAGUGGUACGCGAGCUGGGUUUAGAACGUCGUGAGACAGUUCGGUCCCUAUCUGCCGUGGGCGCUGGAGAAUUGAGGGGGGCUGCUCCUAGUACGAGAGGACCGGAGUGGACGCAUCACUGGUGUUCGGGUUGUCAUGCCAAUGGCACUGCCCGGUAGCUAAAUGCGGAAGAGAUAAGUGCUGAAAGCAUCUAAGCACGAAACUUGCCCCGAGAUGAGUUCUCCCUGAGACUUUAAGUCUCCUGAAGGAACGUUGAAGACUACGACGUUGAUAGGUCGGGUGUGUAAGCGCAGCGAUGCGUUGAGCUAACCGAUACUAAUGAACCGUGAGGCUUAACCUUACAACGCCGAAG
rnacentral:rRNA from 1 species